UACGUAGGGUGCAAGCGUUAAUCGGAAUUACUGGGCGUAAAGCGUGCGCAGGCGGUUUUGCAAGACCGAUGUGAAAUCCCCGGGCUUAACCUGGGAAUUGCGUUCGAAACUACUUUGCUGGAGUGUGGCAGAGGAAGGUGGAAUUCCACGUGUAGCGGUGAAAUGCGUAGAGAUGUGGAGGAACACCAAUGGCGAAGGCAGCCUUCUGGGCCAACACUGACGCUCAUGCACGAAAGCGUGGGGAGCAAACAGG
rnacentral:rRNA from 1 species